UACGUAGGGACCAAGCGUUGUUCGGAUUUACUGGGCGUAAAGGGCGCGUAGGCGGCUUGUCGCGUCGGCUGUGAAAACCCGCGGCUCAACUGUGGGCGGGCAGCUGAUACGGGCAGGCUGGAGUUCGGUAGGGGAGACUGGAAUUCCUGGUGUAGCGGUGAAAUGCGCAGAUAUCAGGAGGAACACCGGUGGCGAAGGCGGGUCUCUGGGCCGAUACUGACGCUGAGGAGCGAAAGCGUGGGGAGCGAACAGG
rnacentral:rRNA from 1 species